GGGGACAACAGCCGGAAACGGCUGCUAAUACCGCAUAAGCGCACAGUUUCGCAUGGAACAGUGUGAAAAACUCCGGUGGUGUAAGAUGGGCCCGCGUCUGAUUAGCUUGUUGGCGGGGUAACGGCCCACCAAGGCGACGAUCAGUAGCCGACCUGAGAGGGUGACCGGCCACAUUGGGACUGAGACACGGCCCAAACUCCUACGGGAGGCAGCAGUGGGGAAUAUUGCACAAUGGGGGAAACCCUGAUGCAGCGACGCCGCGUGAGCGAAGAAGUAUCUCGGUAUGUAAAGCUCUAUCAGCAGGGAAGAAAAUGACGGUACCUGACUAAGAAGCUCCGGCUAAAUACGUGCCAGCAGCCGCGGUAAUACGUAUGGAGCAAGCGUUAUCCGGAUUUACUGGGUGUAAAGGGAGCGUAGGCGGUAAGGCAAGUCUGAUGUGAAAGGCCGGGGCUCAACCCUGGGACUGCAUUGGAAACUGUUUAACUGGAGUGUCGGAGAGGCAAGUGGAAUUCCUAGUGUAGCGGUGAAAUGCGUAGAUAUUAGGAGGAACACCAGUGGCGAAGGCGGCUUGCUGGACGAUGACUGACGCUGAGGCUCGAAAGCGUGGGGAGCAAACAGGAUUAGAUACCCUGGUAGUCCACGCCGUAAACGAUGAA
rnacentral:rRNA from 1 species